AGUGAACGCUGGCGGUAUGCCUAACACAUGCAAGUCGAACGGCAGCACAGUAAGAGCUUGCUUCUACGGGUGGCGACUGGCGGACGGGUGAGGAAUACAUCGGAUUCUACUUUUUCGUGGGGGACUACGUAGGGCAACUUACGCUAAUACCGCAUACGACCUACGGGUGAAAGCAGGGGAUCUUCGGACCUUGCGCGAUUGAAUGAGCUGAUGUCGGAUUAGCUAGUUGGCGGGGUAAAGGCCCACCAAGGCGACGAUCCGUAGCUGGUCUGAGAGGAUGAUCAGCCACACUGGAACUGAGACACGGUCCAGACUCCUACGGGAGGCAGCAGUGGGGAAUAUUGGACAAUGGGCGGAAGCCUGAUCCAGCCAUCCCGCGUGGGUGAAGAAGGCCUUCGGGUUGUAAAACCCUUUUGUUGGGAAAGAAAAACAGCAGGAUAAAACCCCGCUGUUCUGACGGUACCCAAAGAAUAAGCACCGGCUAACUUCGUG
rnacentral:rRNA from 1 species